rnacentral:rRNA from 1 species
CGUAGGGUGCUAGCGUUGUUCGGAAUCAUUGGGCGUAAAGCGCGUGUAGGCGGUUAGUUAAGUCAGAUGUGAAAUCCCUGGGCUCAACCGAGGAAGUGCAUUUGAAACUAAUUAGCUAGAGAGUGGUAGAGGAAGGUGGAAUUCCGUGUGUAGAGGUGAAAUUCGUAGAUAUACGGAGGAAUACCGGUGGCGAAGGCGGCCUUCUGGACCAUUUCUGACGCUGAGACGCGAAAGCGUGGGGAGCAAACAGGAUUAGAUACCCUGGUAGUCCACGCCGUAAACGAUGGGUACUAGAUGUUGCGGGAAUUGACCCCUGCAGUGUCGACGCUAACGCAUUAAGUACCCCGCCUGGGAAGUACGGCCGCAAGGUU